CCUACGGGAGGCAGCAGUGGGGAAUAUUGCACAAUGGGGGAAACCCUGAUGCAGCAACGCCGCGUGAGUGAUGACGGCCUUCGGGUUGUAAAGCUCUGUCUUCAGGGACGAUAAUGACGGUACCUGAGACGGAAGCCACGGCUAACUACGUGCCAGCAGCCGCGGUAAUACGUAGGUGGCGAGCGUUGUCCGGAUUUACUGGGCGGAAAGGGAGCGUAGGCGGACUUUUAAGUGAGAUGUGAAAUACUCGGGCUUAACUUGAGUGCUGCAUUUCAAACUGGAAGGCGAGAGUGCAGGAGAGGAGAAUGGAAUUCCUAGUGUAGCGGUGAAAUGCGUAGAGAUGAGGAAGAACACCAGUGGCGAAGGCGAUCCCCUGGACUGUAACUGACGCUGAGGCUCGAAAGCGUGGGGAGCAAACAGGAUUAGAUACCCGGGUAGUC
rnacentral:rRNA from 1 species